rnacentral:rRNA from 1 species
UACGAAGGGUGCUAGCGUUGUUCGGAAUUACUGGGCGUAAAGCGCGCGUAGGCGGCAACUCAAGUCAGGGGUGAAAUCCUGGGGCUUAACCCCAGAAUUGCCUUUGAAACUGUGUUGCUAGAGUGUCGGAGGGGAUAGCGGAAUUGCUAAUGUAGAGGUGAAAUUCGUAGAUAUUAGCAGGAACACCGGUGGCGAAGGCGGCUAUCUGGACGACAACUGACGCUGAGGCGCGAAAGCGUGGGGAGCAAACAGG